GCUAGAGUGGCAGAGCCUGGCUAAAUGCAGAAGGCUUAAGCCCUUCAUCCAGAGGUUCAAAUCCUCUCCCUAGCU
rnacentral:tRNA from 1 species